UUCCUACGGGGCGCAGCAGUGGGGAAUCUUCCGCAAUGGGCGAAAGCCUGACGGAGCAAUGCCGCGUGAGUGAAGAAGGCCUUCGGGUUGUAAAACUCUGUCCUUAUCGAAGAGAGGUGGGUAUGUGAAUAAUGUACUCAUAGGACGGUAGAUAAGGAGGAAGCCCCGGCUAACUACUUGCCAGCAGCCGCGGUAAUACGUAGGGGGCGAGCGUUGUCCGGAAUCACUGGGCGUAAGGGGCGCGUAGGCGGGGACGCAAGUCAGAUGUGAAAAUCACGGGCUCAACCUGUGGCCUGCAUUUGAAA
rnacentral:rRNA from 1 species